rnacentral:rRNA from 1 species
UACAGAGGUCUCAAGCGUUGUUCGGAACCACUGGGCGUAAAGGGUGCGUAGGCCGCACGGAAAGUCAGAGGUGAAAUCCCGGAGCUCAACUUCGGAAUUGCCUCCGAUACUCCCGUGCUUGAGGACUGGAGAGGAGUCUGGAAUUCACAGUGGAGCAGUGAAAUGCGUAGAUAUUGUGAGGAACACUAGUGGCGAAGGCGAGACUCUGGACAGUUCCUGACGCUGAGGCACGAAGGCCAGGGGAGCAAACGGG